GACAGAGGGUGCAAACGUUGUUCGGAAUUACUGGGCGUAAAGCGAGUGUAGGCGGUUCGAUAAGUCGGAUGUGAAAGCCCCCGGGCUCAACCCGGGAAGUGCACUCGAUACUGUCGAGCUAGAGUAUCGGAGAGGUUGGUGGAAUUCUCGGUGUAGAGGUGAAAUUCGUAGAUAUCGAGAGGAACACCGGUGGCGAAGGCGGCCAACUGGACGAAUACUGACGCUGAGACUCGAAAGCGUGGGGAGCAAACAGG
rnacentral:rRNA from 1 species